rnacentral:rRNA from 1 species
GACGAACGCUGGCGGCGUGCUUAACACAUGCAAGUCGAACGGAAAGGCCCUGCUUUUGUGGGGUGCUCGAGUGGCGAACGGGUGAGUAACACGUGAGUAACCUGCCCUUGACUUUGGGAUAACUUCAGGAAACUGGGGCUAAUACCGGAUAGGAGCUCCUGCUGCAUGGUGGGGGUUGGAAAGUUUCGACGGUUGGGGAUGGACUCGCGGCUUAUCAGCUUGUUGGUGGGGUAGUGGCUUACCAAGGCUUUGACGGGUAGCCGGCCUGAGAGGGUUACCGGCCACAUUGGGACUGAGAUACGGCCCAGACUCCUACGGGAGGCAGCAGUGGGGAAUAUUGCACAAUGGGCGGAAGCCUGAUGCAGCAACGCCGCGUGCGGGAUGACGGCCUUCGGGUUGUAAACCGCUUUCGCCUGUGACGAAGCGUGAGUGACGGUAAUGGGUAAAGAAGCACCGGCUAACUACGUG